GGGUGCGAUCAUACCAGCACUACUGCACCGGAUCCCAUCAAAACUCUGAAGUUAAAUGUGCUUGGGCGAGAGUAGUACUAAGUUGGGUGACCUCUUGGGAAGUCCUCGUGUUGCACCCC
rfam:Ricinus communis cultivar Hale ctg_1100012362470, whole genome shotgun sequence.